rnacentral:rRNA from 1 species
AUGAACGCUAGCUACAGGCUUAACACCUGCCAGUCGAGGGGAAACGGCAUUGAGUGCUUGCACUCUUUGGACGUCGACCGGCGCACGGGUGAGUAACGCGUAUCCAACCUUCCCAUUACUGUGGGAUAACCUGCCGAAAGGCAGACUAAUACCGCAUAGUCUUCGAUGACGGCAUCAGAUUUGAAGUAAAGAUUUAUCGGUAAUGGAUGGGGAUGCGUCUGAUUAGCUUGUUGGCGGGGUAACGGCCCACCAAGGCUACGAUCAGUAGGGGUUCUGAGAGGAAGGUCCCCCACAUUGGAACUGAGACACGGUCCAAACUCCUACGGGAGGCAGCGGUGAGGAAUAUUGGUCAAUGGACGGAAGUCUGAACCAGCCAAGUAGCGUGCAGGAUGACGGCCCUAUGGGUUGUAAACUGCUUUUGUAUGGGGAUAAAGUUAGGGACGUGUCCCUAUUUGCAGGUACCAUACGAAUAAGGACCGGCUAAUUCCG